CCUAGCGGACGUGCCGGAGUGGUUAACGGGAUUGACUCGAAAUCAAUUGGGCUGUGCCCGCGCAGGUUCGAAUCCUGCCGUCCGCGAC